rnacentral:tRNA from 1 species
CCAUAAAAAGUAAAAUUACGUUAACUUGUGGAGUUAAAAACCCUUGGAUUA